CCUACGGGAGGCAGCAGUGAGGAAUAUUGGUCAAUGGGCGCGAGCCUGAACCAGCCAUGUAGCGUGAAGGAUGACUGCCCUACGGGUUUUAAACUUCUUUUAUAAAGGAAUAAAGUGAGGCACAUGUGCAUUUUUGUAUGUACUUUAUGAAUAAGGAUCGGCUAACUCCGUGCCAGCAGCCGCGGUAAUACGGAGGAUCCGAGCGUUAUCCGGAUUUAUUGGGUUUAAAGGGAGCGUAGAUGGGUUGUUAAGUCAGUUGGGAAAGUUUGCGGCUCAACCGUAAAAUUGCAAUUGAUACUGGCAGCCUUGAGUACAGUUGAGGUAGGCGGAAUUCGUGGUGUAGCGGUGAAAUGCGUAGAUAUCACGAAGAACUCCGAUUGCGAAGGCAGCUUACUAGACUGCCACUGACAUUGAUGCUCGAAAGUGUGGGUAUCAAACAGGAUUAGAUACCCGAGUAGUC
rnacentral:rRNA from 1 species